UAUUGUUACAUCCAAGUGGUUAUUUACAAUAGAAUCAAGCAAAUUUUUGUUGGUGAAUUAACUAACUUCAAAUUGGAACUGUUUCGAUCAGUAACGAAAUAGGUCCUGCUCCUGUCACUAGAUGACACUACCAAUUAUGAAUUUUAUUUAUAAGGGUGCAAAGUCGUAUCCAAUCUUACAUUUAUUCGUUCAUUAUUGCUUUACAUUACUUUGUAUACGCGUUACUUGGUUAUUCUCUGAUAUAUCCUGCCAGUAGUUUGUUAGGGCUCACUGGCCCCCUUAUAGCUUGGGUACCUCGAGUUUCCUGAAAUCGUACUGUAGCUAGGACAUAACUACAGGCCUCGAGGAUAAAUGCCACCGAUUAUUUUAACUGAUUAUAUUUUGUACACUUUUGAAUGAUCGAGCGAAAGCAAACACUCUUCCUUUAUAUACAAUUCAAAAUAAUCUUAAUAAUUUCUCAUUCGAUUAUCGUACACAUAUAUAUUUAUAUUACAUCAACAUUUACUUCAUUAGUAAGAGAUUUUUACAUAUUUUACAUUUUUGGUACAUAAUUUAAAAAAGCAUAAUCUUAUUACUGAAGAAAAAGAUCGAAAUUAUAAAGUUGUGUAGUUUUAUGGAAGAGUACUAUGUGGUUUAUAAAAAAAAUUACAGUAUCUGCCGUAAAACAGGAUAGUAAGUCCAUCUAGCGUUUCAAUACAAGAACUAAGAAGAUCAUUCCAUUGAGGAUAUAUCCAAGUCGAAAGUCUUUUAUUGUCAAAGUUAAAGACUUAAAAAGAAAGGAAUAAUGUUAUUAUUUAUACAUAAAUAGUAACAUGUAUUCCAUUGUAUUUGUAUUCGUUCAACGUGUAGCUUCCUACUAGCAUGAAUUUGUCGCGGUCACGUGGUUUUGUUUACUCGCCUUUUUAAUUUUACAUUCAACAGACGUUACAACGUCGAGAAAUUAAAAAAAUCAUAAGAGAAGUAGGAGAGGGAAGCGGGAACGGUUGGCUUUUAAAAUAGAAGCGAUGGAUCUAGUAGUAGACUCUGUUCAGACUUGUAAUGUAUUCUCCUCUGACCAUACUUUGCCAAUCACGUUGGUACUGAAUCGUCAAUACCGUGCCCACAUUGUACCAACAACUUACAACAUUUUAACAACUCUCUGUUACUCCCAAAAGCUGCAGUACGUCGACAGAUGCGACUAUAAUACAAAGCAAGGGCACUUGAUAAAAUAACUUAGUCUUCUAUUUCAUAAUUAUCUAUAUGUAACGUACAUAUAUAAAACAAAUUAUGAAUAAAGAAAUAAUAAUCAGGUCGGUACAGUAUUAUGAUUUUUUUCACCUUAAAAAUUUUUAACGCCUGAUUAUACAAAUAGAUAUAUAUCACGAAAAUGUAAGAUCAUAGUUAACGCGCCGAAGUCCACUCUCGAAAAAGAAAAAAAAAAAAAGGAGCCACUCGAUUAGGAAAUUUCGGAUUAAAAAUGUACAUGUGCAUGGGGCAUAUAAUAAGCGGUGGACUACGAUUCUAAACGUUUCUCUUUCAUUUGGGAGCAUCGCGAUUCAUUUACGUUUUUUUUUUUAUGUUUUUAUAUUCAAACCUUAGAUCAAUCAAUCCAGUAUAGAUAAAGCCCACUCGUUUCAGAAUAGGAACAACCAACCAAAUCUCCUCGUGUAUGUUAAUCGUUAUUAGUCAUGAUAUCAGUAAUAAUGUUAAUAUUUGAAUAAAGUAACAUGAUGUGCAGUCAAAUAUUCAUGGAAUACUUGGCUGCACGGAGGUCAUGCGAGGAUCCACCACAGUUAUCUUCCCACUGUCAAUGCUGUCCUGUUCUUUACACCAUAUAUAUAUAUUAUAUCGGAUUUAUUAGUAUAUAUAUAUAUAUAGUAUAAAUAUAUACACGCACGCUAGUUUUAACAAUCUUUCGUCACAUUCAUUCAUACAUACAUAACUUCAGAAGAGAGGAACGUCUCCGCGAAAGCAAAGUCCCUCUUAACUGCUUUGACGUGCUCUGCCUCGGAUAUUUUCGCUUCCGUUGCUCUUUAUUCACCGAGUAAUUCACUUCCAAUGAUUCCCGUUGCCGCACUCCUUUGUUUCUUUUUCUUCUUAAUUUGAACUUCACUUAAUUUCACAAUGACUUAUCACAUGUUUUUUUUUCUGUUUCUCUUUAAACACUAUUAUCAAGUCAGCUCACUGUUUGAUACAAGGAACGAUAAUACAAUUGAAUAUUUACGAACACAACAUUUUUGUCAUGCUGAAUAAUGUAGCUUGUCUCGUAGAAAGACGCAAGCUCCUGGACUUGCGGCGACCAGUCUCGCAUCUCUCGCAAUGUUUUAUAUAGUCGGCCUGUAAGUAUAGUUUGUAGAGAUGGUGGAGAUGGUAGUGA